UACGGGGCGCAGCAGGCGCGAAAACUUUACAAUGCUGGCAACAGCGAUAAGGGAACCUCGAGUGCCAGGUUACAAAUCUGGCUGUCGAGAUGCCUAAAAAGCAUUUCAUAGCAAGGGCCGGGCAAGACCGGUGCCAGCCGCCGCGGUAACACCGGCGGCUCGAGUGGUAACCGUUAUUAUUGGGUCUAAAGGGUCUGUAGCCGGCCGGAUAAGUCUCUUGAGAAAUCUGGCAGCUUAACUGUCAGGCUUUCAGGAGAUACUGUCUGGCUCGAGGCCGGGAGAGGUGAGAGGUACUUCAGGGGUAGGGGUGAAAUCUUGUAAUCCUUGAAGGACCACCAGUGGCGAAGGCGUCUCACCAGAACGGACCUGACGGCAAGGGACGAAAGCUAGGGGCACGAACCGGAUUAGAUACCCGGGUAGUCCCAGCUGUAAACGAUGCAGGCUAGGUGUUUGGACGGCCACGUGCCGUUCUAGUGCCGCAGGGAAGCUGUUAAGCCUGCCGCCUGGGGAGUACGAUCGCAAGAUUGAAACUUAAAGGAAUUGGCGGGGGAGCACCACAAGGGGUGAAGCUUGCGGUUUAAUUGGAGUCAACGCCGGAAAUCUCA
rnacentral:rRNA from 1 species